rnacentral:rRNA from 1 species
ACCCGGAAGGCGCGGGCCUUAGUGGCGGACGGGUGAGUAACGCGUGGGGAACCUGCCCCGUACCGGGGGAUAACACCUGGAAACAGGUGCUAAUACCGCAUAACAGAAGGGGACGCAUGUUUCUUUCUUGAAAACUCCGGUGGUACGGGAUGGACCCGCGUCUGAUUAGCUUGUUGGCGGGGUAGGGGCCCACCAAGGCGACGAUCAGUAGCCGGCCUGAGAGGGUGGACGGCCACAUUGGGACUGAGACACGGCCCAAACUCCUACGGGAGGCAGCAG